rnacentral:lncRNA from 11 species
UGCAUGGUGCUGCAACCACAGCUGCACCGACUAAAAGACUUGAUAGGAUGACCUUUUCUUGCUUGUGGUGGUCACAGUUGGGUGCAAUUAGUCCAUCUGGGCUGAUUUUGGCAAAUACCCAGCAACCGCAACAGCAGGAGUUUCACCUGACCUUUUGAGCCCGGAGCAGCAAAGGAAGAAGUCAGCUUCAAUUGGCCAAGAAAAGGCAAGGAAACAUUAGCACAGGCUCCAAACAUUGGGUAGAAAAGUCCCUAGGCCGGGCAUUUUUGGGCUGACACUGGAAUCUACAGCUGGACAUCUGGAUGAACAGGUACAGAUCCAAGAAGUUUUUCCAUCAUGAGGACUGCAUCACAAAAACUGGUGACAAAUUGGAGAUUACCUGCUUUGAGAUGUGGAAUUAAGUCCAUUGUUAGCCUCAACUGGAAAGCUUUUGAGGUGAUUUAUUAUCAGAUCUGUCAAAAUCAGGAUUUGAUUGGUUAUGAAGGAACUAGUAUGAGUCACCCAAGGAUAUUCGGAGAGGUAACAAGACCCACAGUAAGGACAGAGAACGCAAGGCAGAUAAGGAGUGUCACGCUUGGCUUUCUUUUGGGACACAGCAGCCAAUGCGUUUCACCAUCCACCAGACCCUCCUUGCCCCUGAAUCUAUUUUUAGGCUGUGCAAUAAAAUUAACACUUUGUUUAAGCACUCAAUGACUUCCUUCCUAAAUGCCUGCCCUUUAAAAGGCCAACUGUGACUCUCCCAGGGAUUCAGGGAAUUGCUAUAAAUUUUUACACCCCUUUCAGCAGUUCGCACAUUGCUGUUCCAAGUUUUAUUAUUUUCGUUAUUACCAAAACUAUUUUCAGAUGAUGACUGUGUCCUUAUGUCCGAGACAGAGAGAAAGAAUGUUGUGGUUCCUUAAAGAUAAAUAUGUUUUGUUUAGCAUAACUAUGGAAAUAGGUUACAAUCCACAAAAGCUCAUCCCAGAUAAAAUGUUACCCUGCAAGAUGCUACAACCCUUGUAGAUGUUGCUAUUUUUUAACCUCAUACUUAUCCUCAAAGGGUGCCCAAGAAUAACUUAGAAGAGAAAAAAAAGUUGUACUGGAUUUUAUGCAUUCAUUACAAAUACUGUAUUGUCCCAUUGUAACAUCAAUAAAGCCUGUAGAAAACUAAUAAUCAAUUUAUAGUAGUAGAAGAAGACGUACAUUAGGGGACAGAAAAAAGGGCCUCACUUAAAGAUCUCAAAACAUGGCAGGUUCAUGAGGGAAUAUUUAUGUUUGUGUCUAUGUGCCUUCAAUUUGCCUGUGGAUUUACAUCAAUUCUAUGAAUGUCAUACAGCAAGGGUGUCAAACCCAUUUUCAUUGAGAGCCACAUCAGUCUUAUAGUUGCAAAGGGCUGAUGAAUCCAUAAUCCGUGGAUAGAGAGGGCCACAUAGUGCUUAGUGCUCUUUAGUCUUUACACAAUUUGCAUCCCCAGAUGUUAUGAACGGCAACUCACAUUACUUUUGAUUAUUCGCCAUGUGGACUGCGGAUGAUGGUGAAAGGACCAUAAACCAGAAAAUAGUAGACUUUUGCAUAUAUAGCUUUGCUUCUGCAUAUAUCAUAUUAUAGACAAUGUGUGUAACAAAGCCAGGGUAGUGUGUGUAACUAGCUCUUUGAGCUGGUACCUUUCUCUAGAAAGUUCCAAGGACAGAAGCUAGUUCGGAGUAAAUAAGUGAGAUCACAAACACCACUUUGUGCCAAAGAGGUGUGGAGGUGAAGACACCCUCAGUAAUUAGUCAAGUUUAGAUAAACCAAGAUAUAUAUUCUUUGUUUACUGCGCCACGCUUCGCAGAAGCCAUUUGCAAGUACAGACGUUUGGUGUGUGUAUGGCUGUUUUGCCUUUCUCAUAGCUAUGAUGAAAAUAAACUUUGCUUUUGUACUCUCAUGAGACUAGAUUUCUGUCUGAUUGCCUCCUGUGCCAGAAC